UAUGGUAAGCAGCCGCGGUAAUACGUAGGGGGCAAGCGUUAUCCGGAUUUACUGGGUGUAAAGGGAGCGUAGACGGCAAGGCAAGUCUGAUGUGAAAACCCAGGGCUUAACCCUGGGACUGCAUUGGAAACUGUCUGGCUCGAGUGCCGGAGAGGUAAGCGGAAUUCCUAGUGUAGCGGUGAAAUGCGUAGAUAUUAGGAAGAACACCAGUGGCGAAGGCGGCUUACUGGACGGUAACUGACGUUGAGGCUCGAAAGCGUGGGGAGCAAACAGG
rnacentral:rRNA from 1 species